AUACGGAGGAUGCGAGCGUUAUCCGGAUUUAUUGGGUUUAAAGGGAGCGUAGGUGGGAUAUUAAGUCAGCUGUGAAAGUUUGGGGCUCAACCUUAAACUUGCAGUUGAUACUGGUUUCCUUGAGUACGGUACAGGUGGGCGGAAUUCGUGGUGUAGCGGUGAAAUGCUUAGAUAUCACGAAGAACUCCGAUCGCGAAGGCAGCUCACCGGGCCGGAACUGACACUGAUGCUCGAAAGUGCGGGUAUCAAACAGGAUUAGAUACCCUGGUAGUCCGCACAGUAAACGAUGAAUACUCGCUGUUUGCGAUAUACAGUAAGCGGCCAAGCGAAAGCAUUAAGUAUUCCACCUGGGGAGUACGCCGGCAACGGUGAAACUCAAAUGAAUUGGCGGGG
rnacentral:rRNA from 1 species